CUGGAUGCGAGCUCUUUGUCAGAUGUAAGGAUUGUGAGUUACCUCCUCUAUUAGCAAAUUUAACUUGCUUAUUCAUCAACUCAUUCCAAGAGCACCAAUAAGGAAUGGGCCAGGCCCUGUGCUGGGUGCUGGGUUAUCAGAAUGAGUAUGAUGUGGCCCUCAUUCUUGAAGACAGCUCGACCGUGAUGGAGGAGACAGGCAUUUAGAAUAAGCAUGAAAUAAAGGUGGCUGUUAAGGGGUCAGCUCCCCUCACCAAAGUCACUUUUGAUUUACUUACAAAAGUUUUCUUAAGAUUUCUUCAGAACCCAGGUCAAAAGGCUGUGGCAGGAGGCCAGGCAGAUCACAGCGUCCAUGCCUAGAUGCUCCCUGACCCCCAGGAACCAGAAGUGCUGUCUCCUGAAGGCUCUGGAAACCCGGAAUCAGCCUACGAGGCACCAGGGCCACCUUGGAGGGUGGAAAUGAGGACCUCAGGCCCCAGAGGGCAUGCAGGCGAGGUGAAGUUCAGGAGAGGGGAAAGAACAUGGGCUGUGUGGCCUUGGACCAAUUGCUUGCCCUCUCUGGGCCUUCUUAUUGGUGACAGACAGACUGGUGACUUUCUGAGAGGAUCUAUGCAACCUCAGGCUCCUGCACCUGGGUUACAGGGUCUUCUGGAGGGGAAGAGAUGAGCAGCAAGGACAAUAGCAGUGCUCCCUUCCCGGGUCAGUUGCAAGGAUUAAGGAUGAUGUCUGCAAAGUGCUUAGUCAGAGCCGGCAUACGGGAACUCACAGCGAAAUCUACCAACCAAAGAGGAUGUCCAUACCUGUCUUUUUCUUUCUUCCUUCAUUUUUUGACUUAAUUUCCUCACUUGAAAAAAAAAAAUAAAACACCUUAUUCAGGGUAUACUUUAUGGGCAGUCUUAAUUUUUUUUAUUAGGAUGUGGGAUGUAAAUCCAUAAAAGAAGUAGAAGUGCUGAGCCUUCCUGUGGAGUGGGUGCUGGAGGGGAAAAGGUGGAGUUAGGGGAGGGAAGGGGAGGGCAGGAAGGUUGGUGAUGGGCAGAGAUUCACAGAGACUCCCAGGUCAGGGAGCAAUCCCCCAGUCAGGGCAGCAGGAAUGCCCAGAGGAAUUCUGAUCGGGACAGACGUCGGGCACUGAAUGAAGAGAGGUCCCUCAGGGGCCUGGUCUCAGGGGCCUUGAAUUCCACGCAAAGCGUGUCUUGAGCAUCAACUAUAUGCCAGGCACCUUUUACAUAUAUUAUUUCUUACUUCUAAAUUAUUCCAGAUUUUAAGCCGGGUGCAGUGGCUCACGCCUGUAAUCUCAGCAUUUUGGGAGGCCAAGGCAGAUGGAUAACCUGAGGUCAGGAGUUCGAGACCAGCCUGGCUAACACGGUGAAACCCCGUCUCUACUAAAAAUACAAAAAUUGCCUGGGUGUGGUGGUGCAUGCCUGUAAUCCUAGCUACAUGGAAGGCUGAGGCAGGAGGAUUGCUUGAACCUGAGUGGCAGAGGUUGCAAUGAGCUGAGAUUGUGCCACCGAGCUCCAGCCUGGACUACAAAGUGAGACUCCAUCUCAAAAUAAUAAAUAAAUAAAUAAAUAAAUCUAUCAAUCCAGAUUUUACCAAUUAGGAGACUGAGCCUCAGAGAAGUUAAAUCACUUGUCCAGAGCCCUGAAAUUGGAGAAGCAGCUGCGCUCAGACUGGAACCCUAGAUGGUAGGGCCCCUUAGUCCUCCUUUAUCUUGGGGGGAUCCAGGGAAGGCUUUUCAGCAGGGGAAUGAUGCAAUUGGAUACACAUGUCAGGGGGAACAUGACUGCUUGUGGCAAGGAACGCAGUAAGCCUGGG
rnacentral:lncRNA from 10 species